rnacentral:rRNA from 1 species
UACGGAGGGUGCAAGCGUUGUUCGGAAUUACUGGGCGUAAAGCGCGUGUAGGCGGCUCCUUAAGUCUGAUGUGAAAGCCCGGGGCUCACCCCCGGAAGUGCAUUGGAAACUGGGGAGCUAGAGUACCGGAGAGGAGGGUGGAAUUCCUGGUGUAGCGGUGAAAUGCGUAGAUAUCAGGAGGAACACCGGUGGCGAAGGCGGCCCUCUGGACGGAUACUGACGCUGAGACGCGAAAGCGUGGGGAGCAAACAGG